UACGUGUAGAGCUAGCGUUGCUCGGAUUCACUGGGCUUAAAGGGUGCGUAGGCGGCCGAGUAAGUAAGGUGUGAAAUCCUGCAGCUUACCUGCAGAAUUGCAUUUUAUACUGCUUGGCUAGAGUACUGAAGAGGAUAGCGGAAUUCUGGGUGUAGCGGUGAAAUGCUUAGAUAUCCAGGAGAACGCCGGUGACGAAGGUGGCUAUCUGGUCAGAUACUGACGCUGAGGCACGAAAGCCAGGGGAGCAAACGGGAUUAGAUACCCCGGUAGUCCUGGCCCUAAACGAUGUACACUUGGUGGUGGGAACUUCGGUUCUCGCUGCCGGAGCGAAAGCGUUAAGUGUACCGCCUGGGGAGUACGCUCGCAAGGGUAAA
rnacentral:rRNA from 1 species